AUUAAACUUUUGACCAAUUUGCC
rnacentral:siRNA from 1 species